CAUUUAGAACAAGACAAAACUAAGCAGCCCUUUGUAAAGCGAAAGCAGCUGGCUCAACUAAUUAAAUGUUAAAAAUUCCAGCAAGACGAGCGUACCAGAAAAUAAACAGGCAUUGGAGCCAGGAGAGAAAGCGUUGGAAAUGAUCUAUGCGUUUUCCUGUCUCUGCAUGCGUUUGUGUGGAUGCUGGCACCGGCGUGGCCGCGCGUUCACGUGUCCCUGCUGAUGUGCGUUGCCUUGGCUAUUUGUUAGCUGCGAACAAGCAUGAUCGCUGCUGAGAAGAGUUCUCAGGAUGUGUUCAAAAGCAGAAGGCGCCGACUUUCAUCUGCCCCCUUACAGCGAGCGCUGCCAAGCCUUCCCCAGCACGAGCAGCCCUGCCUGCACUCGCCGGCUGCCCUGCAGCCUAAUCCUGCAGCCCCGAGGAUGUGCUGACAUCGGCCGGGCGGCUCGGUGCCUCGGAUAAAGGGCCCAUGGAAAUAAUGUUCAGCGUUUUUGAGGCGAGGGCCCUUUGAAGAAUUUCCCCCAAGUGCUGCUCGCCUUUGUUGUUUCGGCCACCACAGCCAGCACAAGCCCCAGCAGCGGCCGUGCCGUUGCGAGCCCGCGUGGCGCAGCAGGCAGCGCCGGCAGCGUGCGGCCGGGGGCUGGGCCACAAAGUCAUCAGAAGAGAAGCAGCGCUGGCACAUCCAGGCAUUUGAUGGGAUGUGGACUGUGCCUUUGCGACCAUCUGCAGGCAGCAGCGUGGUCCGCAGCCCACGCUGGAGCCGGAUCCAAACCCUUCCUGAUGCGAGAUGCCAGCAUCCCUGGGGCUGACUUCAUAAUCCUGCCAGAGCCAUUUUCUGCAUUCUCAGAGGACUUCCCCCA
rnacentral:lncRNA from 1 species